rnacentral:tRNA from 1 species
UAGGAGGAAGCCAACAUAGGCACCUGUCUGUUAAACAGGCCUUCGCUCACCUAGAGCCCUUCUAA